rnacentral:rRNA from 1 species
GAUGAACGCUGGCGGCGUGCCUAAUACAUGCAAGUCGAGCGGUAAGGCUCCUUCGGGAGUACACGAGCGGCGGACGGCUGAGUAACACGUAGGAACGUACCCCAAACUGAGGGAUAAGCACCAGAAAUGGUGUCUAAUACCGCAUGUGCUCUUCGGAGUAAAGCUUCGGCGGUUUGGGAACGGCCUGCGCAUGAUUAGCUUGUUGGUAAGGUAAUGGCUUACCAAGGCGACGAUCAUUAGCUGGUCUGAGAGGAUGAUCAGCCAGACUGGGACUGAGACACGGCCCAGACUCCUACGGGAGGCAGCAGUAGGGAAUUUUCCACAAUGGGCGAAAGCCUGAUGGAGCAACGCCGCGUGCAGGAUGAAUGCCUUCGGGUU